UACGUAGGGGGCGAGCGUUGUCCGGGGUUACUGGGCGUAAAGCGCUUGUAGGCGGUCCACCAAGUUUGGGGUGACAGUUGCCGACUUAAUCGGCAAAGUGCCUCAAAGACUGGCGGACUUGAGGGCCACAGAGGGACAUGGAACUCCAGGUGUAGUGGUGAAAUGCGUAGAUAUCUGGAAGAACACCAAAGGCGAAGGCAGUGUCCUGGGUGGUCGCUGACGCUGAGAGGCGAAAGCCAGGGGAGCGAACGGG
rnacentral:rRNA from 1 species